ensembl:lncRNA
CCCGAGCAGGAGCGGGCGUUGCCGACUGCUCCGCGUCGCCCGUCGUCAUCUUCCUCCUCUUCUUCGGCUCCGGUGCCAGGGUGGCCUCCCCGCACGGCGUCUCCUCCACGGAGACGCCACGAGGCUCCACCCUGGUCUGCGCCGGAGCCCGAGCAGGAAGCCCGACCGUCGGCGGAGCGGCCGCAACCUGUGGUGGUGGUGGUGGUGGUGGUGGUGGGGUGGAGGACGGUGCCGGAGGAGGCGGAGACGGAGGCGUCUCCAGCGGGAGCGGGAGGGCCUGAAGGACCUGUACGCCAGCUUCAGACACGGUCACGCACAACCAAAUGGCAUCAGCACAAUGAGAGUGACGGGGCAACACACAGGCAGGCGAGACUAAGUGAGUCUGAGCAUUCAUGACGUGCAGCAUGCCGUUGAUUAGAUAAAAUGGUUUAGUGCUACAAGGCGACUGUUAAGAGGUGUGCUACAAGGCGACCGUUAAGAGGUGUGCUACAAGGCGAAUGUUAGUUACAAGGCGAGGUUUGCUAGACUGGGAGUUUAAUCAAAUCCACAUUACCACUACGUGAGUGAGGACGGCGCGUCUACCACCAACAAAGACGGCUACAUCACCUGAUAAACCUACCUUUGUCCUUCAGGCAUCAGCUUUAGCGACCGGCAAAUGAAAAAGUUACAGUUAAUGCAAACACACUGACUCAAGAAUAGAUAUCAGUUGUGGUGUGUAUGUAUGCAUGUGGUGCCAGCUACCCAUUUCCACGUCAGUGACCGUCUGGACCAGCUCCUCGUCCAUCACCUCUGUGGUGGGGGGCGGCGGAACCGAGGGGCGCUGGUCUCUGACGGAAGACACCGCU